rnacentral:rRNA from 1 species
AGUGAACGCUGGCGGUAGGCCUAACACGUGCAAGUCGAACGGCAGCACAGUAAGAGCUUGCUCUUACGGGUGGCGAGUGGCGGACGGGUGAGGAAUACAUCGGAAUCUACUUUUUCGUGGGGGAUAACGUAGGGAAACUUACGCUAAUACCGCAUACGACCUACGGGUGAAAGCAGGGGAUCUUCGGACCUUGCGCGAUUGAAUGAGCCGAUGUCGGAUUAGCUAGUUGGCGGGGUAAAGGCCCACCAAGGCGACGAUCCGUAGCUGGUCUGAGAGGAUGAUCAGCCACACUGGAACUGAGACACGGUCCAGACUCCUACGGGAGGCAGCAGUGGGGAAUAUUGGACAAUGGGCGCAAGCCUGAUCCAGCCAUACCACGUGGGUGAAGAAGGCCUUCGGGUUGUAAAGCCCUUUUGUUGGGAAAGAAAAGCAGCAGGUUAAUACCCCGCUGUUCUGACGGUACCCAAAGAAUAAGCACCGGCUAACUUCGUG